GAGCAGCUGACCAAUAUGAAUGUAGCAGGUGGCACCAUUAGGUGUCGCGCUCUCUCCAGUCUGUGCCUCCAUAAAAGGGAAGCUGGAAGGGUGGUGGCCAGGUGUCAAUUUCCCGUGUGUUAGACCAACUGUGUGUUGGGCUCACGCUGUUUGCUGGCUGUGGACUGUAUUGUUGAUGGUGUUCGGCUGGUAGCGUUACCUGGGUGUUCGACGCCGCAGGUAGGUUUUAUACAUUGAUCUUUUUUAAUUAGAAUGAAUUGUAUGUUUAUAUAUUGUUUUAUUUGCCAGGUUUGCACCAGAUCGGCUACACAAAGGUUUGAUCUGGGAGUGUUGAUUUAUGCAAUGCAGGUAGGCAGUGUUUUAAUGUUUUAGGUUGAUUUGAUUAAAAUAAUUUAAUAAGCAUUCAGUAAUUUUUGUGUCUUUGUCUUACAGUUUUUGCACUGCCUCCUGCUGUCCUUUUAGCGUUUGGUUUUUUCUUUUUUGUUAGUCCGCCCAGUUAGGAUCAUUUUUCUGCUUGCAGUAUUUGUGAGGGCGGGCUAACAAUUUUUUCAUUCAUUUUGUUUGUUUUGUUUUUUGUUUAUUUUGUGGCACUUCCCUGAAUUUUUCCAUCCUGUUUGGUGUGAUCCCCAUGUUGGGUUGGCAACGAACGGAUAAAGCUAGCGGGGAAUCCUUCAUGUAUUCAACAAUAAAUAUCAAUAAUUAACUUAA